rnacentral:lncRNA from 1 species
GGCCUCGCCCUGGAGUCUCGGCACCGUCUGGCCCCGCCGGCUGAUUACAGCCAGAGAUCGAGGGGGACCUCGCUGUCCCCCUAGAGGCCGUCAUGCGGGGUUACAGAGGCUGCGACCAAAGUCAUUCCUAGCUCCUCUCUCGGGGCUCCGGAAAGCCGUCCGCGCCUCCAGCCGCACUUUCAGCGCACGCAGGACCUGCCGCGCCCGGUGGCCACACCCGUCCCUCUGCCGGGUGACGCUGCGGGAGAUCUUGCGCCCUGGGGCUCCGGAUCCAGUUCUGGCACGUUGUUGCACCUGUGACUUGUCCUUGGCCUGGCACUGUCCCUCGCCUGGGGGAAGCGGGGGGGUGGGGGGGGGAUGCUCACGUGGUCGCUUUGCUCCCGCAGUCAUGCACUUGGGUGAAAACAGACUGAAGAGUCACGGGAACCAGCUUGUCUCCCCAGUUAUGGCGCAGAGCUGCAAGGAUGGCUGUGGGUCAUUAAUUUCUCCGUGGCUGACCUGUGUUUGUAACGCCGCAGCUGUUGCGAGGGGGAAGGACACUGCUUCGGAUUCAAAUUCUGACUCCUUGCUGCAGUGUGUCACCUUGAGCCAGUCCCAGAUCUCUGCGUUCUCACAAUUGUAAAAUGUUAACAGAGGCUGCCUACCUUGUGGCUGGAAUUAAAUGAAUUAACGUGUGUGAAUGUGACUAGAAUUCAGUACAUGUUCAGGAAAAGCUGAUUUCCGCUUUGCUGUUACCGUGAAUAUUACUGUUUUAGGGUGUAGAAAAGGGUGGAAGGGGAUGUUAUUGCAUCCUGGAAGCUUAUCCUUUUGAGGUAAAGAUUGAUUUCUGGUCCCCUGCGUGGUAUAUAGUGUAGUUUUGACAUUAUUUAGAUGUGUUAUGCACAUUUGGGUGUUGAUUAUAUGGCUUACGAUCAAGACUAACCAGUCAUGCCGUGGGAGAUUAAGGUCGUGGUCUCUUGUCAGGAUUGUAGUGAGAUUUAAAAAUUCCAGCCAGAAAUACCAGGCUUAGAAUGCUCUGAAGCCCUCCCCACAUUUUUGCCAUCUCUAGCAGGAGGGCACUGCAUAGCAGAAACAAAGACGUUGUAAAUUGUUGCUGCCUGAGUCAUUUAUAGAGGCUUAAACAACCUGAAUGUCCUCUGACCUACCUGUAACAUUUGAUGGAGUUGUAUGAGUAACUUACAAAGCUGUAGGUCCCAAGGUCGGUCUGAAAAAGAAAGUUCAUAUCCGGGAGCACUGACCCCGUAGUGUAAUCCUGGCACCUUAAAACGUACUGCUCCCUCCACCUUCACUUCAAGGUUAUGAAAACAUUGAGUAAAAGGGAUGAUCUGUUCAAAGUCCUUAGUGUUCUGCCAAUUUAAAACAGUAAUUUUCAAAGCAGUUAUUUGCAAGGAAAUUGCCUAGAACUUCUCCCAGUGUGCGGUUGUUUUGUGUGUUUGUGUGUGUGUUUUGUUUGUUUGUUUUCAGUCUGUCCACAGGCGUACUUUUAUAGGUCUGUGAUAGUAGGUAGCUCUUCAAGUUGGCAAACACCUGCUGGACAACCCCUGAGAGAUUCAUCUGAGUGAGAGAGCACUCUCCAGCCCCAUCGGAGUGGGUUUGCAGGGAAAUCAUAAGGAAGAAAUCCUUAUCUUUCCAACACUGAGAUGCUUCUGCCGAAGAGUAGAAUGGGAGUGAGGGGACACGCAAAACGGGCUGCUGCCGGAGGAAGAGGAACAGUGUUGUGGCUCAUGCCAUAUGAAUGGGCUCACUGGCCUGGCCCAGACCCUGACUGCCCACAGGAUCUUUGACAGAGAAACGGAGGCACAGAGAAGGAAGCGGCAGUUAAAGCUGCGAAGAACCUAACAAAUUUCAAGAUUGUAAGUGCCUUUUCCCAGGAUGCCAGCAAGUACUGAGCCUGUAUUUUGAGCUGCAUCAAACCCUGUUGGAAUAAAAAAGGACAUUUCUAGGAGAUCAGUCUUCGAGAUUGGCCCCAGUUUCCCCAGAGUAGGAAGAGGCAGGAAGCCAGAGCACAUGUUCUCUCCAGAAAUAAAGUUGUUGCAGUGGC